UUAUUAAUUGUGAUUAAUUGUGAACUAUGAAAUUAACUGUUGUAAUUGCUAACUGCUAAGCAUUGAGCACAGUGGAAGAGAGAGUGAGAGAAUAUAGAGAAGCAAUUGGAUUAGAACUGAUAGCUAAAUAAAAGAAAAGAAAUCUACAGAAGUGUGUUUUUUUUUUCUUCGUUCAGCAAUUUUCACACUGGUUUUUUAAAGGGCUUUUGUUUGCUCUAUCUCAGCUUUGCCACUCAUUCAAUAAGAAAGGUGCCUCCUUUAUUCCAUGAGGCUAUGGGGUGACAAUAUCGAAGCUCUUCGUAUUGCAUCUGAUUCUUGUAUGGAAGGUGGUUCCUAAGUAUAAUGCUCCAUCUUCGACAAGUCCUAUGGAAGACCAUAUUGAUUAAAGCUAUCCAUUUUCCAACCAUGUCCUAUUUCAUUAUCAGCAGUUUGAAGCUGUUCAUAUGGAUAAACUUGCUGGUCAUGGAGGAUCAAUCUUCCGCAUAACCUGGUCCUCUGAUGGUUCCAAUCUGGUAUCUGUCUCUGAUGAUCAUAGUGCUCGUGUUUGGGUGGUUCAUACUGAAAGAAAUGGUUCUGACAAGCCUGGGUAUUCUAUUGCGCCUGAACUUGAUGGUGUUGUGCUGUUUGGUCACAAUGCCAGAGUUUGGGAUUGCUGUAUUAGUGAUUCUGUAAGCUUUACAAAAUCCUUGUUCAUUUUAUUGUGUCUUCUUUUUUAACAACUUAGGACAAAAGAAAAUAGUUUAUUGACAUUAGUUUAAAGUUCAUUUUAAGUGUUCUUAAAUUUUUUUCUCAAUAUGAAAAUUUUUUACAUAUGUGAAGCUGUUAAAUGAAUAAGAAUUUGUUUUCAUUAUGA